GAUGAACGCUAGCGGCAGGCUUAACACAUGCAAGUCGAGGGGUAGGUUACUUCGGUAAUUGAGACCGGCGCACGGGUGCGUAACGCGUAUACAAUCUACCUUUUACAGAGGGAUAGCCCAGAGAAAUUUGGAUUAAUACCUCAUAGUAUUUUCGGAUCGCAUGAUUUGAUUAUUAAAGUUCCAACGGUAAAAGAUGAGUAUGCGUCCCAUUAGCUAGAUGGUAAGGUAACGGCUUACCAUGGCAAUGAUGGGUAGGGGUCCUGAGAGGGAGAUCCCCCCANACUGGUACUGAGACACGGACCAGACUCCUACGGGAGGCAGCAGUGAGGAAUAUUGGACAAUGGGCGCAAGCCUGAUCCAGCCAUGCCGCGUGCAGGAUGACGGUCCUAUGGGAUUAGUAAACNGUCUUUU
rnacentral:rRNA from 1 species